rnacentral:ncRNA from 2 species
GAUUUGCCGAUGACGAAGAAAGUAAUUGCAUGAUUGGCUGAAAAGAGAGGGAAAGUCCUGGGCUGUAAACUUUCCUGCAGGGAUCUGUGAUGAAAAACACUUAAGAGGCUCCUUUCUGAAAGGCUUUUGGCUUAUUAGGAAUGGACGGAACCGGCCGUUAUCCGGAAUGAGAGGAUGGACAGUUUUUUUGUGCAUCAACUAGGGUGGAACCGCGGAAGCUGAAAAUGAGCUCUCGUCCCUUGC